AUUUAAAUAACUUAAAAAGAGUGUUAUAUUGAAGAUAUAAAAGUAAUCAUUAAUGAUUUUUAAAUG
rnacentral:tRNA from 2 species